rnacentral:rRNA from 1 species
ACUCCUACGGGAGGCAGCAGUGGGGAAUAUUGCACAAUGGGCGCAAGCCUGAUGCAGCCAUGCCGCGUGUGUGAAGAAGGCCUUCGGGUUGUAAAGCACUUUCAGUCGUGAGGAAGGUAGUGUAGUUAAUAGCUGCAUUAUUUGACGUUAGCGACAGAAGAAGCACCGGCUAACUCCGUGCCAGCAGCCGCGGUAAUACGGAGGGUGCGAGCGUUAAUCGGAAUUACUGGGCGUAAAGCGCAUGCAGGCGGCCUGUUAAGUCAGAUGUGAAAGCCCGGGGCUUAACCUCGGAAUUGCAUUUGAAACUGGCAGGCUAGAGUCUUGUAGAGGGGGGUAGAAUUUCAGGUGUAGCGGUGAAAUGCGUAGAGAUCUGAAGGAAUACCAGUGGCGAAGGCGGCCCCCUGGACAAAGACUGACGCUCAGAUGCGAAAGCUGGGGAGCAAACAGGAUUAGAUACCCUGGUAGGAUAGCG